GAACGAACGCUGGCGGCAUGCCUAACACAUGCAAGUCGAACGAGACCUUCGGGUCUAGUGGCGCACGGGUGCGUAACGCGUGGGAACCUGCCCUUAGGUUCGGAAUAACUCCCCGAAAGGGGUGCUAAUACCGGAUAAUGUCUUCGGACCAAAGAUUUAUCGCCUUUGGAUGGGCCGGCGUUGGAUUAGCUAGUUGGUAGGGUAAAAGCCUACCAAGGCGACGAUCCAUAGCUGGUCUGAGAGGAUGAUCAGCCACACUGGGACUGAGACACGGCCCAGACUCCUACGGGAGGCAGCAGUGGGGAAUAUUGGACAAUGGGCGAAAGCCUGAUCCAGCAAUGCCGCGUGAGUGAUGAAGGCAUUAGGGUUGUAAAGCUCUUUUAACCGGGAUGAUAAUGACAGUACCGGGAGAAUAAGCUCCGGCUAACUCCGUG
rnacentral:rRNA from 1 species